GACGAACGCUGGCGGCGUGCCUAAUACAUGCAAGUCGAGCGGACCAAACAGGAGCUUGCUCUUGUUUGGUUAGCGGCGGACGGGUGAGUAACACGUGGGUAACCUGCCCGUAAGACCGGGAUAACUCCGGGAAACCGGAGCUAAUACCGGAUAACACCGAAGACCGCAUGGUCUUUGGUUGAAAGGCGGCUUCGGCUGCCACUUACGGAUGGGCCCGCGGCGCAUUAGCUAGUUGGUGAGGUAACGGCUCACCAAGGCGACGAUGCGUAGCCGGCCUGAGAGGGUGACCGGCCACACUGGGACUGAGGCACGGCCCAGACGCCUACGGGAGGCAGCAGUAGGGAAUCUUCCGCAAUGGACGAAAGUCUGACGGAGCGACGCCGCGUGAGCGAAGAAGGUCUUCGGAUCGUAAAGCUCUGUUGUUAGGGAAGAAGAAGCGCCGUUCGAACAGGGCGGCGCGGUGACGGUACCUAACGAGAAAGCCCCGGCUAACUACGUG
rnacentral:rRNA from 1 species